GGAGAGGAGAGGAUUAGAGCAGGUGCCGAGGAUACAGGCAGGAUAAAAACAAGCUGGAAGGGAGGAGGAGAGGAGAGGAUUAGAGCAGGUGCCGAGGAUACAGGCAGGAUAAAAACAAGCUGGAAGGGAAGAGGAGAGGAGAGGAGAGGAUUAGAGCAGGUGCCGAGGAUACAGGCAGGAUAAAAACAAGCUGGAAGGGAAGAGGAGAGGAGAGGAGAGGAUUAGAGCAGGUGCCGAGGAUACAGGCAGGAUAAAAACAAGC